GUGUGCUAUUUUCAUUGGACAUAUUUUUUGGUCGGUGGAGAGAUUUCUCUCGUUUCUUCGAUAUUGUCGACCUUGAUUUUUUUUCUUUCUCUCCCAACGACGAAACGGCGAUUUUCUUCCCUUCGAUAUUGUGCCGAUCUCAUCUCCGCUGUCUCCUCGUCGAAGCCCAGUGAUUCCUCUGUCACAUCGGCGAUCUCUUCGUCUACUUUGUCUCCAUCGACGACGACGAGAGAAGCUGAUGAUGAGUAUUCUUGCAGUUAUGACACAAGAAGCUGAUGAGGUUUUACAAGAAAGUGACGACGAGAGAAGCUGAUGAUGGGAAUGGAUGGACUGUGAUGCUCGAUUACAGUUUACUGCUUUAAGCUAGUGAUCAGUAGUGGGUUUGAUUGAAUUUAGCUAGAAUCCUUGUGAUGUUUAAUCGAUUACAGUUUACUGCAUUAAGUUAGUGUCCCUAAUGUUUGAUCGGUUUCUUGGUUUUGCCGUCUGAUUUCUUAUGUGUUCAAUAGGUAGUGAACUCGAUGAGUGGCAAAUUUGAUAGUGUUCUGAAGCUCUGAUUUUGAUGAUGUUUAGCUAAAAUUUCCUGUAAUUUGGAUCUGUUUGAAUGUCUGUUGAAUGUCUAUUCAACAUAAAGCUGAGAAUUUGAAGCUAUACCAUGGUAGUUAAAAUUGUGAUGAUUGUAUUUGCAGUAGUUAAAUUAAGAUCACGAAGCUAUACCAUGGUAGUUAAAUUAAGAUCACGAAGCUAUAGGUUUGUUCCUUUCUUUCUUUCUUUUGCCUGGUGAAACAACGAUAUAGGUUUGUGUCUGUGGCUGUGUGUUCCAAACCAGGACAAUGACUCAUAUAUUUUCAAGGACGUACGAAAACAUCAAGGUUUAGCACUGAGAGGGAGGGGACUUAUCUUGUGGUGAUCGAUGUCUUGCAAACUCUAAAGGAGGUGUCUCUGAAGAUCUAGUAGGUGUUUCUUAGUUGAGCACUUUGAUCCCAGUUGAUCUUUAUAUAUCCUAGUCUUCUUAGCUUCUAUCAUGUUGUUAGUCGAAGCUUUUAAAAUGCCAAUGACAAGAGACUGCAUCUGCCCCCAGUGAUAGGCUUCCUGCUAAUUCCAAUUCUGACACGACUAGUGAUCCUGGUGUUGUGACUUGUAACUAAGCUCAAUCGUCAGGUCAGGCAAGUUAGACUCAUUUACUCACAAUCACUCAAUAAAUUCAUUUCAAUUCCCCAUCCAUAUGUGAGACUGAAGAUCACGAAGCUAUACCAUGGUACUUAUUCUUCUUGUUUUUACAAUGGGAUUUAAGAAUUUGAUGAAGUACCCAUGACUUCACACAAGUUGUUGUAUUUUCUUGUUUGUAUCUGUUUCAUGUUUUGGUAUUAGUUCUCUUAUUAGGAUUCAUUUGUGACUUUCAUUGAAAGUUAUACAAUUUGAAAUUUAUAUUAUUUGCAAUUUACAAUUUAAAUGUUAUUUUUUAAAGUUUUUAAAAUUGUAAUAUGUUUAAGAAUAUUUUAUUAUUAAAUCUAAUGAUCUUAAACAUGUUCUUCCUAUAACUAACUUUUUAGUAAAAGUUCUUAACAACUGAUCUUAGAUUAUUUUCCUAAUAUAUCUAAUCUAAGAACACUAAAAAGUGUUAUCCCUUUAAAGAUGCCCUAAUAGAAAGAUACGUUUCCAAGAUCUGAAGUUGAACAAGGCAAUUCACCUUUAAUAGUGGAGGCAUUAUUACCAAAUUUUUCAAUUACUUACGGUUAGUAUUAUUCAUCUGCCUUUUACUAAGAACGCUAUGCGGUCCCUGCUUCUCCUCAGCCGACUCUGUCUGAAGAAACCACCUGCGAUCGUAGUUAGACAUAUCGGUGGCGUCCGGUGGCUGUCGAAAACCCCUCUCUGUCAAAUCGUGUGCGCUGUACCUACUUUGGAGGAUGAGGAUGAGGAUAUCGGUAACCUUAUGAUUUUCGAUUAUGUUGCUGAUUCUCGUGGUGGGAGCAAGCUUCUGGAGAAGAGGGUGCCUAUGAAACUGUUGAAAGAAACGGGAACAAUAUGAGCAUCUCAUGGCUGGGUAGCUACUUUGAAAGACGGUGUAGUGCGUCUCCAAGAUGACCUCAACCCUAGUGCUUCAGAUUCAGACCCGAAGCGGAUCUCACUGCCCCCACUCGUAACUCUGCCUCAUUGCCAAACGCAAUUGGUUACCAACGUGGCCAUGUCCUCCUCUUCUCCUGAGGACGACGACUGCAUCGUGGCCGUCAAGUUCUUGGGUCCUCAGCUAAGCUUAUGUAGGCCUGCUCUCAAAGAAAAAGCCGAGUGGGUCAACAUCAGUAUCCCCGACCCUAGCUUCUUCGUCUCGUCCGGAGUCAUGUAUUCCGAGACAGACAAGAUGUUCUCCAUGCCGGCCUGUGGAGGCACACACACGGGAUCUUGGGAUCUUGAAAAACACAGGGACAAACCCAAGAUGCAGACAUGGAGCUUUGAGGACCUUCCUGAGUUGGUGCAGUCAUGCUUGCAACGACUAGAUUCGUGUUGUACGACAGAUCACUUGGUGGAGUCACGACCGACGGGAGAAAUGUUUAUGGUUAAGUGGUUCAGAAAAAGAAACAACGAUGAGGGAGGGAGAAUAGAAGGGAGGCAUAUAAUGGUGUUCAAGCUAGACGGGGAUGGAAAUGCUUUGUACACUGAUGACAUUGGAGAUCUCUGCAUUUUCCUGUCCAAAUCUGAACCUUUCUGUGUCAAGGCUAGCUUGUAUGGCCUUCAUAAAAACUGCGUCUAUUUCGUAGACAACAACGAACGGGGAAUAGUCUUUCUGGCUAUGAAUAAUGAAGCUCGUAUAUUUAGUACUUACCCGGCCUUCAUAAAAUCCAUCUAAUUUAUUUUCUACUAAUUAAUUAUACACUAUUAGUAUCUCUUACAGCUGCAUGUAGUAAAAACAGCUCAAAUAUGACUCAAAACAAGCCAUGGAUACAGCUUACUAGACAGCACAU